rnacentral:rRNA from 1 species
AGAGUUUGAUCCUGGCUCAGAAUGAACGCUGGCGGCGUGCUUAACACAUGCAAGUCGAACGAGAAAGGGAUUGCUUGCAAUCCUGAGUAGAGUGGCGCACGGGUGAGUAACACGUAGAUAAUCUACCUUUGAGCCUGGGAUAACUAAUCGAAAGGUUAGCUAAUACCGGAUGAAGUUAAUCGGCAUAAGUUGAUUGAUGAAAGACUGCCUAUCCUUGGAAGCAGUUGUUUGGAGAUGAGUUUGCGGACCAUUAGCUAGUUGGUGGGGUAAAGGCCUACCAAGGCGAUGAUGGUUAGCUGGUCUGAGAGGAUGAUCAGCCACACUGGAACUGAAACACGGUCCAGACUCCUACGGGAGGCAGCAGUGAGGAAUUUUGCGCAAUGGGGGCAACCCUGACGCAGCAACGCCGCGUGAGUGAAGAAGGCCUUUGGGUCGUAAAGCUCUGUCAAUCGGGAAGAAGUUAUGGGAGUCGAAUAGGCUUUCAUAUUGACGGUACCGGUGAAGGAAGCAUCGGCUAACUCCGUGCCAGCAGCCGCGGUAAUACGGGGGAUGCAAGCGUUAUUCGGAAUUAUUGGGCGUAAAGGGCGCGUAGGCGGUUUUGUCGGUCAGAUGUGAAAGCCCAGGGCUCAACCCUGGACGUGCAUUUGAAACAGCAAGACUUGAGUACGGGAGAGGAAAGCGGAAUUCCUGGUGUAGAGGUGAAAUUCGUAGAUAUCAGGAGGAACACCGAUGGCGAAGGCAGCUUUCUGGACCGAUACUGACGCUGAGGCGCGAAGGCGUGGGUAGCGAACAGGAUUAGAUACCCUGGUAGUCC